GGUUAAGCGACUAAGCGUACACGGUGGAUGCCCUGGCAGUCAGAGGCGAUGAAGGACGUGCUAAUCUGCGAUAAGCGUCGGUAAGGUGAUAUGAACCGUUAUAACCGGCGAUUUCCGAAUGGGGAAACCCAGUGUGAUUCGUCACACUAUCAUUAACUGAAUCCAUAGGUUAAUGAGGCGAACCGGGGGAACUGAAACAUCUAAGUACCCCGAGGAAAAGAAAUCAACCGAGAUUCCCCCAGUAGCGGCGAGCGAACGGGGAGCAGCCCAGAGCCUGAAUCAGUGUGUGUGUUAGUGGAAGCGUCUGGAAAGGCGCGCGAUACAGGGUGACAGCCCCGUACACAAAAAUGCACAUGCUGUGAGCUCGAUGAGUAGGGCGGGACACGUGGUAUCCUGUCUGAAUAUGGGGGGACCAUCCUCCAAGGCUAAAUACUCCUGACUGACCGAUAGUGAACCAGUACCGUGAGGGAAAGGCGAAAAGAACCCCGGCGAGGGGAGUGAAAAAGAACCUGAAACCGUGUACGUACAAGCAGUGGGAGCACGCUUAGGCGUGUGACUGCGUACCUUUUGUAUAAUGGGUCAGCGACUUAUAUUCUGUAGCAAGGUUAACCGAAUAGGGGAGCCGAAGGGAAACCGAGUCUUAACUGGGCGUUAAGUUGCAGGGUAUAGACCCGAAACCCGGUGAUCUAGCCAUGGGCAGGUUGAAGGUUGGGUAACACUAACUGGAGGACCGAACCGACUAAUGUUGAAAAAUUAGCGGAUGACUUGUGGCUGGGGGUGAAAGGCCAAUCAAACCGGGAGAUAGCUGGUUCUCCCCGAAAGCUAUUUAGGUAGCGCCUCGUGAAUUCAUCUCCGGGGGUAGAGCACUGUUUCGGCAAGGGGGUCAUCCCGACUUACCAACCCGAUGCAAACUGCGAAUACCGGAGAAUGUUAUCACGGGAGACACACGGCGGGUGCUAACGUCCGUCGUGAAGAGGGAAACAACCCAGACCGCCAGCUAAGGUCCCAAAGUCAUGGUUAAGUGGGAAACGAUGUGGGAAGGCCCAGACAGCCAGGAUGUUGGCUUAGAAGCAGCCAUCAUUUAAAGAAAGCGUAAUAGCUCACUGGUCGAGUCGGCCUGCGCGGAAGAUGUAACGGGGCUAAACCAUGCACCGAAGCUGCGGCAGCGACGCUGAUGCGUUGUUGGGUAGGGGAGCGUUCUGUAAGCCUGCGAAGGUGUGCUGUGAGGCAUGCUGGAGGUAUCAGAAGUGCGAAUGCUGACAUAAGUAACGAUAAAGCGGGUGAAAAGCCCGCUCGCCGGAAGACCAAGGGUUCCUGUCCAACGUUAAUCGGGGCAGGGUGAGUCGACCCCUAAGGCGAGGCCGAAAGGCGUAGUCGAUGGGAAACAGGUUAAUAUUCCUGUACUUGGUGUUACUGCGAAGGGGGGACGGAGAAGGCUAUGUUGGCCGGGCGACGGUUGUCCCGGUUUAAGCGUGUAGGCUGGUUUUCCAGGCAAAUCCGGAAAAUCAAGGCUGAGGCGUGAUGACGAGGCACUACGGUGCUGAAGCAACAAAUGCCCUGCUUCCAGGAAAAGCCUCUAAGCAUCAGGUAACAUCAAAUCGUACCCCAAACCGACACAGGUGGUCAGGUAGAGAAUACCAAGGCGCUUGAGAGAACUCGGGUGAAGGAACUAGGCAAAAUGGUGCCGUAACUUCGGGAGAAGGCACGCUGAUAUGUAGGUGAAGUCCCUCGCGGAUGGAGCUGAAAUCAGUCGAAGAUACCAGCUGGCUGCAACUGUUUAUUAAAAACACAGCACUGUGCAAACACGAAAGUGGACGUAUACGGUGUGACGCCUGCCCGGUGCCGGAAGGUUAAUUGAUGGGGUCAGCGCAAGCGAAGCUCUUGAUCGAAGCCCCGGUAAACGGCGGCCGUAACUAUAACGGUCCUAAGGUAGCGAAAUUCCUUGUCGGGUAAGUUCCGACCUGCACGAAUGGCGUAAUGAUGGCCAGGCUGUCUCCACCCGAGACUCAGUGAAAUUGAACUCGCUGUGAAGAUGCAGUGUACCCGCGGCAAGACGGAAAGACCCCGUGAACCUUUACUAUAGCUUGACACUGAACAUUGAGCCUUGAUGUGUAGGAUAGGUGGGAGGCUUUGAAGUGUGGACGCCAGUCUGCAUGGAGCCGACCUUGAAAUACCACCCUUUAAUGUUUGAUGUUCUAACGUUGACCCGUAAUCCGGGUUGCGGACAGUGUCUGGUGGGUAGUUUGACUGGGGCGGUCUCCUCCUAAAGAGUAACGGAGGAGCACGAAGGUUGGCUAAUCCUGGUCGGACAUCAGGAGGUUAGUGCAAUGGCAUAAGCCAGCUUGACUGCGAGCGUGACGGCGCGAGCAGGUGCGAAAGCAGGUCAUAGUGAUCCGGUGGUUCUGAAUGGAAGGGCCAUCGCUCAACGGAUAAAAGGUACUCCGGGGAUAACAGGCUGAUACCGCCCAAGAGUUCAUAUCGACGGCGGUGUUUGGCACCUCGAUGUCGGCUCAUCACAUCCUGGGGCUGAAGUAGGUCCCAAGGGUAUGGCUGUUCGCCAUUUAAAGUGGUACGCGAGCUGGGUUUAGAACGUCGUGAGACAGUUCGGUCCCUAUCUGCCGUGGGCGCUGGAGAACUGAGGGGGGCUGCUCCUAGUACGAGAGGACCGGAGUGGACGCAUCACUGGUGUUCGGGUUGUCAUGCCAAUGGCACUGCCCGGUAGCUAAAUGCGGAAGAGAUAAGUGCUGAAAGCAUCUAAGCACGAAACUUGCCCCGAGAUGAGUUCUCCCUGACUCCUUGAGAGUCCUGAAGGAACGUUGAAGACGACGACGUUGAUAGGCCGGGUGUGUAAGCGCAGCGAUGCGUUGAGCUAACCGGUACUAAUGAACCGUGAGGCUUAACCUUAC
rnacentral:rRNA from 1 species